rnacentral:lncRNA from 1 species
GGGGGCGGAGCGGCCGGGGUGCGCGGUAAAGAUGGGGCGGCGCGGCCGGGGCUCGCCAGCACCAGCCCUGGAACCCCACGGGGUCCUCGACAACAGCGCCUUUGCGGCGUGGGCCCCUUUCUGCAGCUCCUCCACCGGCGCGCUGUCGGCUCCGGGGCACUGGGGCUUUGAAGGGCGCCAGUUCCCAGCCGCACUUGCACGCCUAGGAGGGCGCAGGCCGCGUGUCCCUGUGGGAGGAAGGCCCCGGCAACCUGCAAAGACCUCACGUCACGGAAACUUGCGGCGUCGGCCCCCGAUGCGCGCGUCAGGUGCUCCGUCCCUUCCAGGUGGCAGAGAGGGAAGGGUCCCGCCAGGUGGGGGCCUGAGAGCCACCGGGCUGCGGUGCGCGAGUGUGGACACCGCCCCCGCCUUCUGCGUCUACAGCCCCGGGUUCCGGGACCUUUGGAAACCGCUUCGGAAGAAGCUGAGCAUCUCUUUCCCCACGCUGACCUCCCCCAUAGACUCCGGAUGGGGGUAAAUGAGGCUCCUGGGAAAUCCAGAAACUUCACUCUAGAGAAGCUUGUUUGCCAAACCUUGCUUUGGGCGGUGGAGACAGAAUAUCAUGUCCCGGAUCAGCGUGUGGUGACUGUGGAGGCAUUUACACACAGCGCACUCCAGCUCUGCCACUGGGCCGGCUGAGGUGGCUGCGGUACACGGCGCCCAUCCUGAGCCCCAGGUUCCUCACAUGUCAACAGCAUGAAAAGUGCCUCUAAGACAUCCACAGGUGUGCAGUGUUAAAGCAGGCAGCGCCUCAGCUUGGUCAGCUCCCUUAAGGACUGCGGCUCCCUUAGGACAAGGCUCUGUCCCUCAGAGCACUGAGUGCGAUCUCAUGCUGGCAUCUUAGAGACAUUGUAUUCACCAGGUGAGAUGGAUUCACAUCUGCUGGGCGCACGAACACUUCCUCCUUCCUUGCCACCAGCCAGCAUCACAACCAGCCUAGCCAGGCUCCCGUCCCAGCCCAGCCUAGCAGCUAACCCCAGCUCCAUCCCCCAGCAAGCCCCUCUGCCUGCGCCUCAGCUUCUUCAUGGAAGACGAGUCAGGUCAUGAUGCCACCAGGGAGCGUGUUUCCAUGUUGAACUGAGACACUAAGCCCUUGACAAAUGUUGGCCAAGAAAAAAAGGGGCUCCAAGAGGGGAGCUGUGGCUCAGGUAGAAGACGGUGAAUGAGCAUUGCCUGAAUCAGAGUUAGCUACUCUGGUUAUGCAGGUGUCCCCGGCGGGUUGGUCAAAAGCCCUUCCCUGAGUCCUGUGACAAGUGUGGGGAGGGAGGCAAAUCAAAGACCCCUACACACCUCCUGCAUGGAUGGCCAGAGCGCUGGUCCCACCUCCUUCCUUCCAAACUGCAACCCCGAUCAGCACAGCAGAGAAGUCUCCUGUGGCAGGGACCAGUAAUUCAGUGCUUCCCCUGGAGAGUCUGGGAUUGCACAGAACACCAGAGGCUGGGGAUUUAUUUGUUCACCAACAUUCAUUCAACAAACACUUACUGAGGCCAACACUGGGAAUGGAGACGAACUUCUCUGUCCUCAUGGAGCUUGCUUUCAAAAGGGAAGGAGGCAGACAGUAAACAAAACAAGCAAGUCAGUAUACAGCAUGAUGCAGAAAAGGUGUGAUGCCACCCUCUUGCCUGAGUUUAUAACAAGCAGAUGAUGUUGUCCUAAGAAUUAAUUUCAGCCGGUGAAAGAGUACAGGCAAAAAACGUGGUCUCGGACUUUCCGGUGAUGCUUAAGAACAUAGUUGCAGUUUUUGUUCUGAUUCUUUGUGCAUCUCGCGCUAAUGAAGGAUUCUGCCAUGAUUGCCACCUCUGGAGACGUCACAGCCAGCACAGCCAUGACCAGGGAUGAACUUGGCCAUUGUCCAGCAGCACCAUGGGAGGACCAGCUGCUGUAAGUGAAGGUCAUCAUCCAUUUGAUUUGCUGGCUUUUUGCCACUACUGCGGUGGAAGUCUUAGAGUAGCCACCUUCUCUGUACUCAGACCUUCACUUCGCCAGAUGUCAGCACAGCAGUGUCAGCAGCUUCGUCAAACACAAACACCACCACCUCUCUGGAUCAGAAGCACAUGGAAAGCCCACCUUGCAAGAAGACCCAGCUAUUCCAAAAGCACCCAUAUCCCUGUAGCAUCCUCUUAGCUGAAUGUCUCUACUCCUUAAACUUGUACCCCUUUGAAGAGUAAAAAUUUAAAUUCAUUCA